rnacentral:rRNA from 1 species
GGUCGCGUCCUAUCAGCUUGUUGGCGGGGGCGACGGCCCACCAAGGCUUCGACGAGUAGCCGGCCUGAGAGGGCGACCGGCCACAUUGGGACUGAGAUACGGCCCAGACUCCUACGGGAGGCAGCAGUGGGGAAUAUUGCACAAUGGGGGGAACCCUGAUGCAGCGACGCCGCGUGCGGGAUGGAGGCCUUCGGGUCGUGAACCGCUUUUGAUUGGGAGCAAGCGUGAGUGAGUGUACCUUUCGAAUAAGCACCGGCUAACUACGUGCCAGCAGCCGCGGUAAUACGUAGGGUGCAAGCGUUGUCCGGAAUCAUUGGGCGUAAAGGGCUCGUAGGCGGUUCGUCGCGUCCGGUGUGAAAGCCCAUCGCUUAACGGUGGGUCUGCGCCGGGUACGGGCGGGCUUGAGUGCGGCAGGGGAGGCUGGAAUUCCCGGUGUAACGGUGGAAUGUGUAGAUAUCGGGAAGAACACCGAUGGCGAAGGCAGGUCUCUGGGCCGUCACUGACGCUGAGGAGCGAAAGCGUGGGGAGCGAACAGGAUUAGAUACCCUGGUAGUCCACGCCGUAAACGGUGGACGCUGGAUGUGGGGCCCGUUCCGCGGGUUCCGUGUCGGAGCUAACGCGUUAAGCGUCCCGCCUGGGGAGUACGGCCGCAAGGCUAAAACUCAAAGAAAUUGACGGGGGCCCGCACAAGCGGCGGAGCAUGCGGAUUAAUUCGAUGCAACGCGAAGAACCUUACCAAGGCUUGACAUGUGCCUGGCGGCCGCGGAGACGCGGCUUCCCUUCGGGGCGGGCUCACAGGUGGUGCAUGGUCGUCGUCAGCUCGUGUCGUGAGAUGUUGGGUUAAGUCCCGCAACGAGCGCAACCCUCGCCGCGUGUUGCCAGCGGGUAGUGCCGGGGACUCGCGCGGGACCGCCGGGGUUAACUCGGAGGAAGGUGGGGAUGACGUCAGAUCAUCAUGCCCCUUACGUCUUGGGCUUCACGCAUGCUACAAUGGCCGGCACAGCGGGGUGCGAUGCCGUGAGGCGGAGCGGAUCCCUGAAAGCCGGUCUCAGUUCGGAUCGGAGCCUGCAACCCGGCUCCGUGAAGGUGGAGUCGCUAGUAAUCGCGGAUCAGCAACGCCGCGGUGAAUGCGUUCCCGGGCCUUGUACACACCGCCCGUCAAGUCAUGAAAGUCGGCAGCACCCGAAGCCGGUGGCCUACGGCUA